rnacentral:rRNA from 1 species
UACAGAGGUCCCCAAGCGUUGUUCGGAUUCACUGGGCGUAAAGGGUGCGCAGGUGGUCGGGUAAGUCUGAUGUGAAAUCCCGCAGCUCAACUGCGGAAUGGCAUUGGAUACUAUUUGGCUAGAGGGUUGGAGGGGGGACUGGAAUUCUCGGUGUAGCAGUGAAAUGCGUAGAUAUCGAGAGGAACAUCAGUGGCGAAGGCGAGUCCCUGGACAACUCCUGACGCUGAGGCACGAAAGCUAGGGGAGCAAACAGG